UGGCGGACGGGUGAGUAAUGUCUGGGAAACUGCCCGAUGGAGGGGGAUAACUACUGGAAACGGUAGCUAAUACCGCAUAACGUCGCAAGACCAAAGAGGGGACCUUCGGGCCUCUUGCCAUCGGAUGUUCCCAGAUGGGAUUAGCUAGUAGGUGGGGUAACGGCUCACCUAGGCGACGAUCCCUAGCUGGUCUGAGAGGAUGACCAGCCACACUGGAACUGAGACACGGUCCAG
rnacentral:rRNA from 1 species